rnacentral:rRNA from 2 species
UGGGGAAUAUUGCGCAAUGGGGGCAACCCUGACGCAGCAACGCCGCGUGCGGGACGAAGGCCUUCGGGUCGUAAACCGCUUUCACCGGGGAAGACCAAGCGACUGUACCCGGGGAAGAAGCCCCGGCUAAAUACGUGCCAGCAGCCGCGGUAAUACGUAUGGGGCGAGCGUUAUCCGGAAUCAUUGGGCGUAAAGCGCGCGUAGGCGGCCGGGCAAGCGGGGCGUCAAAUCCCGGGGCUCAACCCCGGGCCGCGCCCCGAACUGCCCGGAUCGAGUUGGGUAGGGGAAGGCGGAAUUCCCGGUGUAGCGGUGAAAUGCGCAGAUAUCGGGAAGAACACCGGUGGCGAAGGCGGCCUUCUGGGCCCUAACUGACGCUGAGGCGCGAAAGCCGGGGGAGCGAACAGG